rnacentral:rRNA from 1 species
AUUGAACGCUGGCGGCAGGCCUAACACAUGCAAGUCGAGCGGAUGAAUGGAGCUUGCUCCUGGAUUCAGCGGCGGACGGGCGAGUAAUGCCUAGGAAUCUGCCUGGUAGUGGGGGAUAACGUCCGGAAACGGGCGCUAAUACCGCAUACGUCCUGAGGGAGAACGUGGGGGAUCUUCGGACCUCACGCCAUCAGAUGAGCCUAGGUCGGAUUAGCUAGUUGGUGGGGUAAAGGCCUACCAAGGCGACGAUCCGUAACUGGUCUGCGAGGAUGACCAGUCACACUGGAACUGAGACACGGUCCAGACUCCUGCGGGAGGCAGCAGUGGGGAAUAUUGGACAAUGGGCGAAAGCCUGAUCCAGCCAUGCCGCGUGUGUGAAGAAGGUCUUCGGAUUGCAAAGCACUUUAAGUUGGGAGGAAGGGCAGUAAGUUAAUACCUUGCUGUUUUGACGUUACCAACAGAAUAAGCACCGGCUAACUUCGUG